rnacentral:rRNA from 1 species
CAGUAGCGUAUGUUAAAGUUGUUGCAGUUAAAAAGCUCGUAGUUGGAUUUGUGGUUGGAGCGACCGGCCCGUCACUCUGUGUCGGUGUUUGUGUCGUCUCCGUCCAUCCUUGGGUGGAACCUGUGUGGCAUUGAGUUGUCGUGCAGGGGAUACCCAUCGUUUACUGUGAAAAAAUUAGAGUGUUCAAAGCAGGCUUACGCCGUUGAAUAUAUUAGCAUGGAAUAAUAAGAUAGGACCUGGGUACUAUUUUGUUGGUUUGCGCACCCUGGUAAUGAUUAAUAGGGACAGUUGGGGGUAUUCGUAUUCCAUUGUCAGAGGUGAAAUUCUUGGAUUUCUGGAAGACGAACUAAUGCGAAAGCAUUUACCAAGGAUGUUUUCAUUAA